GUGGGGAAUCUUGCGCAAUGGGCGAAAGCCUGACGCAGCGACGCCGCGUGGGGGAGGAAGCUUUUCGGAGUGUAAACCCCUGUCAGGAGGGAAGAAUGGUCGCCUGAGGAAAUGCGGGCGAUUUGACGGUACCUCCAAAGGAAGCACCGGCUAACUCUGUGCCAGCAGCCGCGGUAAUACAGAGGGUGCGAGCGUUGUUCGGAAUUACUGGGCGUAAAGCGCGCGCAGGCGGCUUUUUAAGUCUACCCGUGAAAUGCCGGAGCUCAACUCCGUGCACGCCGGGGGAUACUGGAAGGCUGGAGACAGGUAGAGGCAGGCGGAAUUCCGGGUGUAGCGGUGGAAUGCGUAGAGAUCCGGAAGAACACCAGAGGCGAAGGCGGCCUGCUGGGCCUUGUCUGACGCUGAGGCGCGAAAGCGUGGGGAGCGAACAGGAUUAGAAACCCUAGUAGUCC
rnacentral:rRNA from 1 species